rnacentral:rRNA from 1 species
GUCUAUGGCCAUACUAUCCUGAAUGUGCCUGAUCUCAUCUGAUCUCAGAAACUAAGCAGGGUUGGGCCUAGUUAGAACUUGGAUGGGAGAUCCAAGCUAAAUGAAAAUGAAGUCC